UGAUGAUGUUGAUUAAGUUUUUUUAUUUUAAUCUAGACAACUUUAGGUAUGAUAGCGGAGGUUUCAUCCACAUUGACCAUUGUGGGCAUUGCUAUUUGUUCUUGUGUGGCAGAGAUUGACAGAAGAAGGGGAAUGGGGUGUGAUGUUAUUUUACAUGGAAG